GACGAACGCUGGCGGCGUGCCUAAUACAUGCAAGUCGCACGCAGUGGCGGACGGGUGAGUAACGCGUGGGUAACCUGCCCUUAAGUCUGGGAUACCAUUUGGAAACAGAUGCUAAUACCGGAUACUAAAGGAUGGACCUGCGAUGCAUGAGCUAGUUGGUAAGGUAACGGCUUACCAAGGCGAUGAUGCAUAGCCGAGUUGAGAGACUGAGCGGCCACAUUGGGACUGAGACACGGCCCAAACUCCUACGGGAGGCAGCAGUAGGGAAUCUUCCACAAUGGACGAAAGUCUGAUGGAGCAACGCCGCGUGAGUGAAGAAGGUUUUCGGAUCGUAAAGCUCUGUUGUUGGUGAAGCGGUAAUCAACCAGAAAGUCACGGCUAACUACGUGCCAGCCGCCGCGGUAAUUC
rnacentral:rRNA from 1 species